rfam:Canis lupus familiaris chromosome 3, whole genome shotgun sequence.
AGAUGUGAGAGUGAUCUGGCUGUGACAUUUGUCACCCCACUGAUCGCCAGGGUUGAUUCAGCUGAUCUGGCUGUCUGGGCGGGUGUCCCCUUCCUCCCUCACCACUCCAUGUGCAUCCCUCCAAAAGCUGCACACUUGGUCAAAGACGACGACAAUCCCCAGAAGAGGAGAACCAUUCUUCAGUCAAGGAUAUAUGAGAAGCUGCGCUCCCCUGAUAAAACCUCCAAACAAGCUCUCAAAUGACACACACAUGAAGUAUUUAGCUAACGUAUGGCACACAGCACAAGCUAAAAAAAAGUAUCAACUAACAUUGCUAUUUCCACACCUUUUUAUGUUG